UCCUUGGUGAUGGAACUCACUGAAUUUGGAAUCCAGGUAGCUAGGCACCCAGAGCCAGACACAGUCCCAGUCUGCUCACUUGUUUUCAGUCACUAAGGACAGAGACAUACUUUCUUGGCAUCUACUGAUCUGUGGAUGGGCAAAUGCCAGGAAAGCACUGGGGAGGGGUCUUUCCUGAGAAUGAAAGUACUGAAUUAUCACGGAGUCAGGACAAUUCCAGUGAGUUUUCCCAGUAUUACCAGAGCUGAAACAGGAUAGGCAAUUACAGAUGAACACAGUUUAACCUACCAGUCAGAUGACGCUUUGGAUAGAAGCAGACCCUCUCCACUUGUGUGUGUGUAUUUUUGUUUUUUUCUCUUAUUCCCUGAGAAUAUGGAGGGAAAACCAUUUGUUUGGGUUUUCAUUGACUAUAGAGUUAUGAGUUAUUUUGCUGAUGGCUACUGUUUGUAGGUUGAUAUAUCCCUUUUAAUCUUUCAUUCUAGGGAGAAGAGGAAAAAUGCAUCAGUGGAUGUGUCCUGUCUAGUGGAAACCUUCCAAGCACUCAUUCUGGCAAAUUAAUGAAUGGACUACUGCUUUCCUUGUGGAUGGGGAACACCUACUAUGUCCAUGAUUUUUUUCUAUCCCUCUAAUUCUUGGCUGCUACCCAGAAGGUGCACAUAGGUUCCUGUAAAAUAUAUGUUCCACCUCCAAGUUCUCUGAAGUGGCCAUAUAUUGGCUUGGUGAAGGGAAUCCAGAGCAUCACUGUGAAAUUCAGAAAUCACUGUGAAAGCAUAUUGCCAAAUUCCCUGUGAUGAAGCAAUGUCAGCCAUGAAACCUGGAGCAUGGCCCAGUGGCUUCACAAUCAACACAGGGAGACAUUUAGCCACCAGUGGCCACAGUUCAACUCCAGGAAGUGGAUUCAGCUCUGCUGCCUCAGUGCACAUCUGAUGAUAUUAAGCAACGUCUACUUGUUCACAUAGAAGGAAAUCCAGUUAUGAUUGUCUCAUUUAAAGAAAGCCAACAUUCCUGACAGCAACAUAAAUUUCAGGCAGCAAAUGUUUAGAAGAAGGUGUCAAGAAAUUAUUAGGCCAACACACCUCCAUAUCUGCAGAACAUUUUUCCUCUACCCUAGUUUGAUAGUCCUCUCUGCCACCUCCAUCAUUGUGAGUUCCUGAACAUUUUCAAUUUCAGAGGUGCCAUCACACAUAUCCUUCUUCUUCUAUCUUUAAUUGUCUCUUUUAUUUUUUGUCAUGGUACUUUUAUCUCAUUGUUUAGCAUGACAUUAGUAAGCAUAUUUGUGUAACAUGUUUGCAUGCAAUUCUAUGAAUUUUUAUUUUUCAUGAUCUACAUAUUCAAUCUCUAACUCUAAUCCUACUUAAUAUUUGCUACUAACCAUUACAUUACUGCUAAAACUAAACCUAUUGUAACAAAAAUGCAAUUUGAAUAAUGUGAGGUUUUAUGUAGUUUGAUUUGCAUCUUCAAUUGUCAAUGGUAUGUGUUAUACAACAGGUCAUAUAUUCAUUAUAAUACAUAUUCAUGAAUUUUCAACUUUAUAAAAUGCAUAACUACAUGACUCUCAUUACAGUAUACCCUGUGUCACAACAUGUAAUUUUAUUUUUAUUUUUUUAAGAGAGAGAGAGAAGAAAGAGAGAGAGAGAGAGAGAGAGAGAGAGAGAGAGAGUUUUUCUAAUAUUUACUUUUCAGUUUUAGGUGGACACAACAUCUUUAUUUUAUUUUAUGUGGUACUGAGGAUUGAACCCAGUGCCCUGCACAUGCCAGGCAAGCAGGUUUCCACUUGAGCCACAUAUUUUUAUAUGCAUAUAUAUUGUCAUACAUAUUAUCACAUGUAUAUUCUAAUGAAUGUUCCAAUUUGAAAUAUACAAAUUCAUUCCCUAAGCCAAACACUAUCCCUAAAAGUUGAAUGAUAUGAAAAUUAAACCUUAAGUGACAUCUAUACCUGAAGAAAUAUUUACAUGAAGCAAUGUAGAAUAAAAUGAAUAUUUAUGUGUACUGUGAAUUAUAUAUUUCAAGUAAAAAUGGCAUAUUUGUCUGUAUAUUACUGUACACUUAUAUAUAUAAUAUAUGUAUCCAUCCACAAAUUACAAAAUAUUUAAUAUAUGAGUCACAUUGUACUCUACUUGAUUCUAUACAUGUAUUUUCAUCUAGCUUUAAUGCAAACUCUCACAUGGACUUUUUCAGGAAUAUUCAUAUUUCCUUAUGUACAAUUCAUUCCCUCAUCUUAACCCUAAAACUUUAAAUAUUUGUUACUAACCCUAAUACUACUAUUGUAAGUAUAACUAAUUUAACAUAAAUGCAUGUGCAUUUAUAUGAGAUAUAUAUUUUGACUUAUAUUUUCAAUUAUUAAUAGUUUAUUAGCAUUUAAAUUAGUAUAUACUCAUUUUAUGAUAUAUCCAUUCAUCCAUAAGUGAAAAUAAAUUGUGUUUGUUUUUCACUUUAUUUCAUUUUCUGUUUUAUAAUGCAUAUAUUCAUACAUGUUUUCAUAUGUACAUUCUUAUAAAUAUACAUAAUACUUGAUAUACAUAUUUAUUUAGUAAGCCUAAUCCUAACUAACUCAAUAUAUAAUACUAACACUAAUAUUACCACUAUAACUACAACUAGUAUGACAUAAAUAUAAAAUUCCAUGUUUUUUUUUAAAUAUAAUUUUAAACUUCAAUGUUCACUUUGCUUAAAACAUACUCUAUAAUCAUUUCCUUAACUUGGGCAAUUCCCAAAUUAAUUUUGAACAAUAUAAUCAAAUAUAUGGAAAGAUUAUGCUUCCAAAUUCUGGCAUGCAUGAUGUUGAUUUACUUUAUUAGAAAUUAGAAAUGUUUCUCAUAUAUACACAUGUAUGUAUAUUCAUGUGUGUUUGUGUGUAUGUAUAAAUAAUUUAGAGGUCCAUUUUGGAUACAUUAAGCUUAUCUGAUUCUAUAGAUACAGAUAUAUUUGGUUUUUAAAUGUGUUUUUUUUUCCACUUUGGUAGAAUUUUUGCUGAUUUGUCUAUGACUUGUGACAUUCAUUCAUUCAUUAAUACAAUAAUUCUCUGAACCAAGUAUUUAUUGAGUGAUUUUCAAAGUUUUACUCAAUGUCAAAAAUGACAACUGUUAUGGAGAAUUUGUCUAUUGGAUGCCUGUGACUCUUGACAGUUCACAUGCAUCAUAGUUUAAGUCACUGGUUUUCAAAAUGUUUCUACUUAAUUAAUCCUUCAGUUUCUUGUUCAAAAGAUUUAUUCCUUGGCUCUAUUAGAAGAGAUUCUAGUUUACUAGUUCUGAAAUUCAGCCCUGGCAUUUUAAAUAUGUGUUGUCAGAGGUCAGUGACAGGGUUAUUGUGAAAACCACCUCUUGAAAACCACUGAGCUCACUAAUUGCUAUGAUUUGACUGCAUGCCUCUUAAAUCAAUUGCAACACAAUCCCCAAUGCGGUGGCAUUGAGAAGUGUCAACUUUUGGAAAAGUGAUUAUGUUAUGACGGAUUUGCAGCUAUGGGAAGGUUAAUGCCUUACAAAAAUGCUCUAAACAAUGAUCUUGGACAUUAAUUGUUCUUCUGCUUUUCUAGCUUAUAAAGACAGUGUUCAAGGGCCAUCCUGGAAGCAAAGAAUGGGGCCUUCAGCAGACACUAAACCUGCUUGCACCUUGAUUUUGAGGUGCCAAGCUUUCAGAAGUGUGAGGAAAUAAAUUUCUUUUGAAAAUAAAUUACACAGUCUCAGGUGGUUUGUUACAGCAGCAAUAAUCUGGUAAGAUUACACUAUACUUCCCCCCCAAAAGCUAUUGAAAGAAAUGGGAAUGAAAAUUGAGAAUACAAUGAUGUUAUGAUGGAAGAGUUCAGGCAUUAGACAUUCUAUGUAGCGUUUCCAGUACUGCAUUACUUUUCUCUUUAAAAUAUUUUUUCACUGAAGUGCAUGUUUGUGUCCUCAAAUAAAAAGUUUUUCUUUC